UACAGAGGUCUCAAGCGUUGUUCGGAUUCAUUGGGCGUAAAGGGUGCGUAGGCGGCGCGGUAAGUCGGGUGUGAAAUCUCGGGGCUUAACUCCGAAACUGCAUUCGAUACUGCCGUGCUUGAGGACUGGAGAGGAGACUGGAAUUUACGGUGUAGCGGUGAAAUGCGUAGAGAUCAGGAAGAACAUCGGUGGCGAAGGCGCUCUGCUGGACCAUAACUGACACUCAGGGACGAAAGCUAGGGGAGCGAAUGGG
rnacentral:rRNA from 1 species